UCGCUGGUGCAUGUAUGGCGCAGUUGAGGGGAAUGUUGUCUGGUUGGAGACCUAGCUAGCAGCUAGCACGGAUCAUCCAUAGAUCGAUUCGACGCUGCAUAUGCGCGCGGUUUCGGACCAGGCUUCAUUCCCCCCAACUCUCAACUCGAUCGAUCUUCUUCGCUC